CGGGGCGGCAAAACGUCCGCCCGGGCCCGAGGCGGGCGGAGGCAGCUGUGGUUACGUGCGGGGGGCCGGUGACGCAGUCGCGGGGCGCUGGGACGCGGCUUGCGGAGCCGGCCGGCGAGCGCAGGCCCCAGGCUCGGGCGCGGCGGCGGGACAGCACCUACCUUCCCGGCUUCGGGUCCGGGAGUGCGGGGCGCGGAGCCGCCGGAGCGCUGCCUCCCUCCUUCCUCCUCCCCUCGCCCCCGCCCCGCGGCGCGACACACAAUACUCGCCGGAAGCGGAAGCCGCGCCGAGGCUCGUGUCAGUGGAAGCUGGGGUGUCGGCGGGCGGCCGCGGCCGGGUCUAGCGGUGCCUGCGGAAGAAGGAGGAGGAGGGCUGGCGAUGAGAAGCAGCAGGGGGAAUCAAGGGCAAGAAGGGACCCAGAGGGGCAGGUGGCUGAGAUGCUGGCGUCCAGGUGACCCGAGGAAUCCUCUGGAGAUACAGGCCCGCGCAUGCGCGUGCUCGAGCGCUGAAGCCCAUUGCCCGCAGGGCGCUGGACUGGCGCCCCGGCCGGCGAGGCUGUCUAGUCCAGGCUCCAGGCCCCGGCUCUGGCCAGGCGCCGCCGCCUCCCGGUGCAGCUGAAAGUCGACGAAGAGGGCGGGGCGGGGGCGGCUUGUGGACUUCCACACUUUUCCUCUCUUCGGGCCAGUCUGGGGAGAGGGUGGCUAGCUGUGGCGGCGGCCAAUUACGUGGCGGACCUGCGGGGCUAAGCUGGCACGUCACUUCCGACUAGUGGAGUUUUUAGCCUUUUAACAUUCAAGGAUUAGGUAAGUUCUCCCCGCGGUAGACUUCAAAUACUCUUUGUCCUGCCCCUGCUUGGCGAAAUUUACCGAAAUUAUCUACCUAUCCCGCUGGAGUGGGAGCCGGGGGAGAGCUGGAACCGCGUCUCUGCUGCUCACCUUUGUGUCCUUAGCUCCUUCGCAUGGGGUCCGACCGCAACACGUGCGCUGGAUAAACGCUUGUUAACUGGAGCUCCCUCUUUGCCCACUAGCAGGGCAUUAGCUGGUGCUGAAGACAGUGGCUGCUUGGCGAGCCUGGAUCUCCAAGUGACCCCCUCAGCAACUCCUGAUGAACAGGGACUUGCACUUAGGAAUCUGUUACAGUGAGCACAGAAGCAGACCUGUGGGCUCAUAGUCUUCACCCCCCACCCAUAUAUACAAGAUGAACAGAGUGGAGGUUAAACAACUUGACUAAACAACACAGUUCAUGGUAAAGCCCAAGACUGUACCUGCCCAUCCACUGCCUUUUCCAUGUAUCCUGGAACUGAGCAUAGACCUCUUCCCAGGCAGAGCUGACAGCAAGUAAAGGAGAUCAUAAUCAGGGGACCAAACAACUUUGUCUAAAGUGUGAAUGUCACCUAAGGAGAAGCUGUGAGAUCAGAAGGGUGGGGCAGAGGAGCAGACACCAUGAGGGAGAGUCCUUGGGGGUACAUCUGCCAGACUGACACUGUCUGGCCUGGGCAGUGGAGGGGCUAGCAGGAACCACAGGUACUGGUGGUGUGGCUACUACCGUUACAACUGCCUGUGCUUGGACAUGGACCCUCUGCAAUAUGCGGCAGUUUCAUUCAUUGCCCCCUACAUUCUACACCAAGUAGAAAUGGAAGGCAAUUGGAUACUUCACAGACAAGAUCUAAGUGGAGAAGGAAUGCGUCCUGUGGCUGCAGAGAUCCUUGGAGCUUGGAGGGGAGAGCUUGAGCCCCACUGAUGAUGACCUCCCACAGCUCGCCAACUCAGCCCUCCCUAAGUCCCCAUCGGGGGCCAAUUCUCACUCUGGGGUUGGGGGGACUCCACCAUAGCUCAUCCAUCAUAGGGAUGUUGGUAUCUACUGUGGGUUGGGUAGGGCCGAUGUGCUGAGGAUGGCUCCCCCACAAGCAAGAGAUGUGGAUUUGGGGAGCUUCCCAUCUUGUGUUGAAGGAACAUAACUCAGAAUAAUAAGAGCCAACUAUAACAAACCCACAGCCAACAUCAUACUGAAUGGGCAAAAGCUGCAGGCAUUCCCCUUGAAAAGUGGCACAGGAUAAGGAAGCCCUUUCUCACCACUCCUAUUCAAUAUAGUGUUGAAAGUCCUGAUCACAGCAGUCAGGCAACAGAAAUAAUAAAGGGCAUCCAAAUAGGAAGAGAGGAAGUCAAACUAUCCUUGUUUGCAGACAGUAUGAUUCUAUAUCUAGAAAACCCCAUAGCCUCAGCCCAAAAGGUCCUUCAUCUGAUAAUUUCAGCAAAGUUUCAGGAGACAAAAUCAGUGUACAAAAAUCACUAACAUUCCUAUACACAGUCGCCAAGCCAAGAGCCAAAUCAGGAGCACAAUCCCAUUCAUAAUUGCCACAAAAAAGAAUAAAAUACCCAGGAAUGCAGCUAACCAAGGAAGUAAAGGAUCUCUACAAUGAGAAUCACAAACGCUGCUCAAAGAAAUCAGAGAUGACACAAACAAAUGGAAAAACUUUCCAUGCUCAUGGCUAGGAAGAAUCAAUAUCAUUAAAGUGGCCAUACUACCCAAAGCAAUUUAUAGAUUCAAUGCUAUUCCUAUCAAACUAUCAAUUACAUUUUUCACAGAACUAGAAAAAACUUAAAAUUCAUAUGGAACCAAAAAGCCUGAGUAGUCAAGGCAAUCCUAAACAAAAAGAACAAAGGUGGAGGCAUCACAUUACCUAACUUCAAACUACAGGGCUACCAUGACCAAAACAGCAUGGUACUGGUACAAAAGCAGACACACAGACCAGUGGGACAGAAUAGAGAGCCCAAAAAUAAGGCCACAAACCUACAGCCAUCUGAUCUUCAACAAAGUUGACAAAAACAAGCAAUGGGGAAAGGUCUCCCUAUUCAAUAAAUGGUGCUGGGAUAACUGGCUGGCCAUAUGCAGAAGAUCGUAACUGGACCCCUUUUACUAUGUACAAAAAUUAAGAUGGUUUAAAGAGUUAAAACCCAAAAUUAUAAAAAUCCUGAAGAUAACUUAGGCAAUACCAUUCUGGACAUAGGAACUGGCAAAUAUUUCAUGAUGAAGACACCAAAAGCAAUUGUAACAAAAGCAAAAAUGGACAAAUUGGAUUUAAGAGCUUUUUCAUAGCAAAAUAAACAACAGGGCAGACAAUCUACCAAAUGACAGAAAAUUUUUGCAAACUAUGCAUCUGACAAGGGGCUAAUAUCUAGCAUCUAUAAGGAAUUUAAACACAGUUACAGG
rnacentral:lncRNA from 1 species